rnacentral:tRNA from 1 species
GCGGAAGUGGUGAAAUGGCAGACACACCGUCUUGAGGGGGCGGCGCCGCAAGGCAUAGGGGUUCAAGUCCCCUCUUCCGCACCA